rnacentral:rRNA from 1 species
CCUACGGGUGGCAGCAGUCGAGAAUCAUUCACAAUGGGGGAAACCCUGAUGGUGCGACGCCGCGUGGGGGAAUGAAGGUCUUCGGAUUGUAAACCCCUGUCAUGUGGGAGCAAAUUAAAAAGAUAGUACCCCAAGAGGAAGAGACGGCUAACUCUGUGCCAGCAGCCGCGGUAAUACAGAGGUCUCAAGCGUUGUUCGGAAUCACUGGGCGUAAAGCGUGCGUAGGCUGUUUCGUAAGUCGUGUGUGAAAGGCGCGGGCUCAACCCGCGGACGGCACAUGAUACUGCGAGACUAGAGUAAUGGAGGGGGGACCGGAAUUCUCGGUGUAGCAGUGAAAGGCGUAGAUAUCGAGAGGAACACUCGUGGCGAAGGCGGGUUCCUGGACAUUAACUGACGCUGAGGCACGAAGGCCAGGGGAGCGAAAGGGAUUAGAUACCCGAGUAGUC